rnacentral:rRNA from 1 species
CCUACGGGAGGCAGCAGUGAGGAAUAUUGGUCAAUGGGCGUAAGCCUGAACCAGCCAAGUCGCGUGAGGGAUGAAGGUUCUAUGGAUCGUAAACCUCUUUUAUAAGGGGAUAAAGUGUGGGACGUGUCCUAUUUUGUAUGUACCUUAUGAAUAAGAAUCGGCUAACUCCGUGCCAGCAGCCGCGGUAAUACGGAGGAUCCGAGCUUUAUCCGGAUUUAGUGGGUUUAAGGGGUGCGUAGGUGGCCUGUUAAGUCAGCGGUGAAAGGCUGUGGCUCAACCAUAGAAUUGCCGUUGAGACUGGGGGGCUUGAGUAUGUUUGAGGCAGGCGGAAUGCGUGGUGUAGCGGUGAAAUGCUUAGAUAUCACGCAGAACCCCGAUUGCGAAGGCAGCCUGCCAAGCCAUGACUGACGCUGAUGCACGAAAGCGUGGGGAUCAAACAGGAUUAGAUACCCCUGUAGUC